rnacentral:lncRNA from 11 species
AUGAAUUCACCAGAAUUGUGCUUCACUACUUCACCUAAUCCAAUCAUCGGUGGCCAAAUGGAUUUUAAUAUAACUGAGUUUUGCAAGACAAUAGUUGGGGCUACAUAUGCAAACUACUAUUAUCCAGAUACAACAACAGACAGCUUGCGCUGUGUGAGUAACUGCACCAAGGGCAGUGCGUAUGCUAUCAAUUGCUACCAUGGGGUUUGCCGCAUCUCUGACAAAGGCCCCAACUGCAACUGUAAUGACCGGAAUACCUUUUGGUAUGUAGACAAUAACUGCCAGACGCGUUUCCAGAAGAGUGAGGUGGGUCUUGGUAUUGGGAUGGCUGUCCUCUUCCUGAUUGCUAUCAUCUUGGCUGUCUUCCUCUUCAGAACCUAUCGGAGAAAGUCUGAGUCUAGAUACUCUGAUGGAGAUAACCUCAUUUAUGAAGACACUAAAGAGGAAGAAUGGCUACCCCCGUGGACCCUGAACUUCACAAAUGAGGCAGCUGACUUCCACAAUGGAAGCCAAAAUAUAAACAAUGGAUUCAAUCUUUCACUUGACUCAGUAGACACCUCAGUACAGUUGCAAUUUGAGAAGCCAGAAGUAGUAAGGCCUCAGCAGCCUCUUCCUGGGACUUAUCCUAGAUAGUGUGGCAUCCUUGAAUUGUGAAGAUGGAUACACCUAAGGACUUUACUGCAAAUCCACCAACAGGGAAGCUGGUCCAAUGGAUGGUGGUGGUGGUGAUGUUCUCCUUCCCAACUCUCUUAGAUCUGUUUGAAAUUAGUUUCUUGGAAGAUAUCCUUGUUGACAGAGACUAUGAAUUUAUUAAGAAGCAGAACACAUUAUUUAUUGAAAACCAAUCAAUACAAAAAAAACCCCAGAGUAUCGAAGGCUGAUUGUACAAACAACACACACAUAAACACAGUUGCAUUUCAUAUCAAGCGAAAGAAUAUAAAAUGCAACAACGUGGACUUCCAGUACAUCUGCACAGCAUUGGGUUUGGUAAUUUUGAGCUAACUCAUGAUCAGUAAUAGUCAUUAUGAAUAUAUUGUCCACAACUAUUCCAGUAUUUUCAAAUCAAAUUCUCUGAUCUGGGAAUGAGUCAGAAGUCUUGUUUUCUGGGGCAAAAAAUAAAGCAAGUUUGAUGGAUGUUAAUAUCAUUCAUCUGUUAGAAAUCUGAUGAAGAAAAGAAUUAUUCUGUCUUUAAUUUUAGAGCUUAUAGAGCAAUAUCUUGCCAAAAGUAUGUGAGCUAGACAGGACAACUCAAUGAAUGGAAAUAGGGUUGUUUGGAACCCAGUUGUCAGUUACAAACAUGGGGUUAAAUCCAACUAUUAGUCCCAACAACAGUAGACUUGGUGAAUCAACGGAAGUUCAAACACACUGAUUAACAAGUUCCCAUGGAUUCUUUGGAUCUACUCUGUUGAGAUUAACAAAUAUCACAUGUGUAAAAUUCACAACACAUGUUUAGCCGAGAGUAAGAACAGCUUAGUACUGUCACACACAUCUGAUUAUAAACAUACUGUAUGUUAUGCAUAUUUGUUAUUUUUGUCAUGUUAAUAUGUGUUUGUUUUAUAUUAAUAAAACUUUUUAAAAAUAAGCUGUGGAAUAAUGUGCUUGAGAAUUAACACUAGAUUUGAAAUAAAAUCUGUUUCCAAACUAUGUCUCUUAUAAUAAGGGAACAGUAGCCAAGAGGCUAAUUUGCUAAGUCCUUCUUGAUCUAGGAGUGUUGUCUGGGUAAUAGAAGGGUUCCCUGCCCCCCCCCCCCCGCCAGUUUAUUAUUUGAUAGGAAUGUACCAAAAUCUAUGUCCUGUUUAUAAUCAAGAUGAUAUAUAGGGUGUUGAUUAUUAAAUUCUUAAAAGUCAGAGUUCAUCUCUUGAGUAUUCACUUGUUCCACAGCAGACUUUGGAUUACCACAAACUCAAAGAGAAUACCCUAGUAACAUCUUUAACAUAUUUGACACUUACUGCUCAUUAUUUUUAACACCUCCUUCAAUAAAAGUAUUUUCAUGGGUAAAUAAUAAUGUAAUGUAAUAAUGGGUAAAUAAUACAGUAGAGUCUCGCUUAUCCAACAUAAAUGGGCCGGUGGAAAAUUGGAUAAGUGAAUAAGCGAAAAUGUUGGAUAAUAAGGAGGGAUUAAGGAAAAGCUAUUAAAUGU